UUUUUUUUUUUUCAUGUGCAUAAUGGCCAAAAUCAUUUAGAUUCAAUUCAAUAGAGGCUACCUUUCCUUGUUUCCAGCCAUUUAAGCCUACAUUAGGGUUUAAAAGAACUUCAGUAACUACCCCAGCCUCCAUCCAAGGGAAAAAAAAAUCAAUUUUCUAGGAUUUCUAUAGCUCUUUUUUGGUUUCCAUAGCAGUCAAGGGCAAGCUGAGAAGAAGGAGGAAAAAAAAAAAGAUUUAUUUCCAACUCUAGUGAAAGCUUAGUCCCAAGAUAAAAGAAAAAGCCAAGUAUAAUGAGAAAAAGGGAAAGUAAAAGAAAGCAAACUCCUAUAGGUCUGUACCGAAUAUGACCUUUGUUCUGAGAAUUCAAAGAGUAAUAAAUUAUCAGAGAACAUAGGACAUCAUUUGUGUCAUUGAAGCUGUACCUCUUGCUUGACUAGGGAACUGAGCAACAAUACACAGAUGGAGGGCAAUGAAUUUAUGAAAUUAUGUGCCAGCUACCAGGAUAGGGCUUGAAAUGUGCACUUGCUGUUGGCACUAGAAUUGGGGCUUGGUUGCUCUAAUGCCAGAACUCCAUGCUCACACUCUGCUUUUUGUGCCAAAGUUAGAUGCUCAGAUUUGAAAGCUAAAAUUUAUCAAGUUUUAGCACUGCCUCUCCACAGCCAAAUGAUAAUGGCAUAAAAAAGGUACAUUUUUUUUACUUCAGUUUAAAAGUAGAACUGCCACAUUAAGAUAAAUUCACUCUCCUCAAACAAUUCAGGUAUGAAACAUUUCCCUGUCAAUGAACUCAUCUUAAAGUGGCUAGAGAGCUUUUUCUGAUUCUGUUGUACACUGGGUCGGGUGGCCUGGUGCCAAUUUCCUCUGGCAUUUAGCUUUAGAUAAAUAUUUAUUUUCUCUGUCCUGGACACUAAUCAUAUCCUUUGAUAUUAAGAACUGCUUUAACAUGAAUAGUAAUUCAAAGACAUUAAGGUGGCCAUAUUUGAUGAAAUAGUCUCUAGACAGUUUUUUAAAAUGUGAUCCCAUUGUAAGCCACAACCUCACUAUUCUGGUUUAUCCUGAGGCCACACAAUUAUUUUUCAUGUUAUGAUACUGAAGCUCCUAUGCAUCCUUUUCUGGCUACAUCAUGCCCAUAAUAUAAAAAGCUAUAGAAACAUCGGGAAUUCUCUAUAAUAAGAAAUGCUUAUUAAGUGCUCACAGGUUAUAUCCCUGAAGUCCUAAACUCUGUGUCAGCACUUCUUAUUUCCUGGUUGCACCACAGAACCAUCUAAGGAACAAUGUAAAAAUUACCUUUGCCCUGGCGCUACCCCAGACCAAUUGAAUCAGAAUCUCCCAAAGUAGGGCUUAGACAUCAAUGCUUUUAAAGCUCCCCUGUUGAUUCAAAUGUGCAGCUAGAGUUGAGAAAACUCUUCUGUGUAAAGGGAUAGUCUACAUCUUUGUGGAAGCAAAUCAAGAAUGUAAUGAGAAAGUACAACCAAAUAAAGAAAUCCUAAAUCAGUGAUCCUAAUACACACAUACAUUAACUUGCUAAUUUUCAGUAAGGCAAGAAUUAAGGAUGCUCUAAAGAGUCACCAGAUUUUUCCUGUUUUUACUUUAUUUUGCAUUUCCUUUAUGCAUCUCUCUUUUCUUUUUUUUUUUGUAGAAACAUUAAUACACAAAGUAUUUAAAAGUAGUGGAGGAGUUAUUAUUGUGGCUCAGUGAGUUAAGGACCUGACAUGGUGUCCAUGAGGAUAUGGGUUCAAUUCCUAUGUCGCUCAGUGGUUUAAUGAUCUGGUGUUGAUGCAAGCUGCAGCAUAGGUCAUAGAUACAGCUUGAAACUGGUAUUGCUGUGGCUGUGGCGUAGGCCUGUAGCUGCAGCACUGAGUAACCCCUAGCCCGGGAACUUCCAUAUGCCACAGGUGAGGCCAAAAAAGGAAAAAGAGCAGUGGAGUUGCUUGCUUGUGGAAAGAGAAUGUGUGUGAGUGUUGUCAUAUAUACCAUACAGAGUGAAUUUGCUACUGAAAAAUGGAAUAUAAAAUGCCUUUUCUGUCUGUUGUGCAAACAAGGGAAAAUGGGAAACAGCACUCACUUGAUGCCUCCUAGAGAAACAUUUAUGGCAAAACUUGGAGCAACAGCUCUGUGUGGGCUUGGUGGCCCAUUCUAGGAUAGUGCUCUGAGAUCUGACCCAGUCAUUUCAGACUCUGAAGAAGUGGCCUGCUCUUGAGUUGUAGGAGUGUUAGGCUGCAGAGUUAGGGAGGUUCAGACCUCUUUCUGGUAUGAUUAGGGCUAUGACACAAGAGGAAUCGGACAUGGUGGAAGCCUGGCUCUAACUCUGUCCUGGCAGCCCAGUGUUAGCGGGUUUGGGUUUGGUAUCACUUAACAUGAGAGGCCCGUCCUUAUGGGUACAAUUAUGUGAACUGGCAAGCUGGUGGCAGUGUUUGCUCUGUCAGCAUUCAUGAUCAGAGGAAUCCUAAGCCCUCCUCUCGUGUCAUAGGGCCUACAAUCCUUGACUGGCCAAGACUGAUCAUGUUAAAACCAGGGCCACUGCCAGUUUUGCCCAGGACUUUACUAUAGGCCAAUUCAUUUCCCAAGAGGCUAACCAGGAAGAUGUCAAUUUUUAAAAAGUUAACACUAAUCAUCACCCAGUCUAUUUCUCUCAUUCACAGGACAGAAUGGCACUUCUUGAGUGAACAGCCUAUCCCAUGGAGUUUGUAAGCACUCCCAGGCUUAUCAUUAGCAUCCCAAGAGACUCUAGGAACUGACUGUAAAUGGCUGAGUAUCACCCUGGUAAUGCACACCACACACACUUGAGCCUGAAAGAAAGGGGCGAUUUUUAAGAAAAGCCUAUAAACACGCAUGGUCUAGUCUAGAAUGUAUUGUGACCUUCGAGGUGAGUCAGUAUCUACAGCCAUAGUCCAAGUGUCCCCAAGGGCCCCAAAUCCUUUUGGAGAAAGAGAGCGCUAUCCCCAUGCUGCUUUCUCAGUUCCAGUUACUGUUACUAUACCUCCACCUGAGAGGCAUUAAAUUAAAACAUGUGAACUCAGUAAAAUAACAUUAGCCAGUAUUUACUGAGUACUUAAUAUGAAUUAGGAACCAUUUUAAGUAUUUUUAUUUAAUGACUCAUUACAUUAUUCUUUGCAAGAAAUUUGUAAAAGAGUUAUUAUUAUUAUCUUAUUUUUAGGGAAGAUUGAGUCAUUAAGAGGUAAAGUCACUAGCCAAAGAUGAUGAGGCAAAUAGGUGACAGAACUUGAUUUCAGAUGAUACACUGUGGAUUCAGAUCUGGCAUCACCGCUUGUCAAAGCAUGAGUGAAGUAUGUUUUUUGAAAAAUGAAUUUUUAAGGAGUUUGAAUAAGAGUGAGAAGACUAGUUAAGAUGGCAUCUCAGUAGUCAAUGUGACUUAGACGAGCUUAUGUCACUGCAACAGGAAGCAUGUAGACAGGAUUCAAGAGGUGCUUGGGAAAUUGGAAUCAGCAAGACUUGGUGAUGGAGUAUUGGUGGCAGGUAAGCAAGAGAUAUGUAUCAAUCACUGUUCUCAGCUUCCUAUCUGGUGAAAUGAGAUAGGGGGCACUGGAGAUAAAGGAAGUUGUGUCUGGAAGAUCAUGAAUUGUGUUUUGGAUGUGAUAAAUUUGAGAGAACCAUGAUAUUUCAAAUGGAAUAAUCAAGCAGGUUGUCGUGUGCAUUCUUUACAUUUCCUCUCAACAUCAUGAUCAAAAAAGUUGCUUUGGCUGGAGUUUUGAAUUGAGUGUGUCACAGUGAAGCUAUGGAGGGCUAAUAAAUUAUAGAAAAGGAAAAUCAAGCAAAGGGAUUCCGAAAGCAUCCUAUGCAAUUUGUCAUUUAGAACCCUGGCAAUGGAAGGGCAACUCACACUUCAUAUUGAGAAGAAUGGUCUAGAGAAGACACAAAAUGAUAGAAUUAUGGAAUCUCAGGUGUAAAUGAGAUAGAAGAAAGGCAGACUAUAUUAGCAGUAGUAGAGAUAAAUGAAAAAACAAACAGUAAAACUUGAUGAUUGCCAAUGUUGUAGGUAGGCAUCAAGGGAGGAUUCAAAGAUACACGUAUGGUUUUAUAAUAUGGAUACUGUAGAAAACAAUACUGAAGUAAAAUUUUGUUAAUCAGGGAAUGGGAAUUCAUUUUGACCUAAUUUCUAGGCAUCAUUUAUUUUUAUUUAUUUUGUAGAAAAAAGUCAGUUACUACUGGUAAAAAAGUGAAUAUGAUAAGACACGUGGGAGGAAUUCCUGGUGGCCUAGCAGUUAAAGAUUCGUCAUUGUCACUGCUAUGGCUUGGGUUCGAUCCUGAGCCUGGGAAUUUCUGCACCCAUGGGUAUGGUCAAAAAAAGAAGGAUGGAAAUACUAAUUUUGAACAGCUAAACAUAUAUCAAUGAUCUGAUAACUUUUAUAAACUUAAAACUAAAAUCAGGAAAAUGAAUAUUCUAUUUAAAUAUUUAGAAGCAUGUCAGUAAUGUUGGCUUGUGCAGACCUUUUCAUAGGAAAUAAGCUAUUAAGUUAUCUUAAGCAACAACCAGAAUUAAGAGUGUUACUUCAGAUGUUUUCCUAGAACCUCAAAACACAUUCCCAAGUACCCAUAGGUCAUCUAAAUAGAUACUGAUUUAUUCUUUGUCAAAUAUUUAAUAUUCAGUUUUCACAUGACAGUACUUUUUUCCUAAUGCCAUUCUACUUGUGCAUCAAUACUGUUAAUAUUGUUAUCAGAUUAUCAUUAAAAUAGUUAUAUAAUACAUAUUAUGGGAAAAAUUGAUUACUACAAGAUCUAGAUAAAUAGAAAUGGAUACAGAUAGAGAAUGUCUACACACAGAUAUUAUCCAAUGUUCGGUAUUUAUAAGACAACAAACUGAGAAUGUGAAAAUGUGUGUUCUAAGGUCUAGACUCUGAACUCCAUGUCCCUUAUGGGAAAAAACAAAAACAGAAACACUUUUCUUUAUUUUCUGUUCCUGCACAAAUUUUAUACUUUUUAUACUUUAGAUGCUCAAAAGUUCUCUCAAAUAUAUAUCCCUACAUGUAAAAUAAGUAUUUUUAUACAGUGGAUUUAGUCUAUUUUAAAUCCUCUUUAAAGGUAAAUAGUUGAACCUGAUGUUCUAGAAAUAUUUCUAGGUCUAAUUAAUUUUUUAAAAAAUUUCAGCUCAUGUGUGUGCCUGCAGACAUGCACAGACACAUAUCAGUUUGGCAUUUGUUUUAUUUCUUACUAGUUUUACUUAUUUGUUUAGAUUAAUUUAAUAAUUAUCUACUAGGGUCCCAAAUAGAUUAGUUUGUUUGUUAUAGAAAAUAUAGGCAUACCCUAAGGAUAUUGUGGGUUUAGUUCCAGACAACUGCAAUAAAGCAAAUAUCUCAGUAAAACAAGUCACGCAAAUUUUUAGUUUCUGAGUGUAUAAAAAAGUUAUAUUUAUACUAUAUUGUAGUCUAUUAAGAAUGCAAUAGCAUUAUUUCUGAAAAUGAAGUGUAUAUACCUUAAUUUAAAAAAAUCUUUAUUGCUAUAAAAUGCUAAUCAUCAUCUGAGACUUCAGUGAGUCAUAAUCUUUUUUGCUGGUGGAGUAUCACAGUGAGGCUAUGGCAGGCUAAUAAACUAAGGAAAAAGGAAAAUAGAGGAAAGGGUUUUGGAAAGCAUCCUAUGCAAUUUGACAUUUAGAACCCAGGCAAUGGCAAGGCAACCCACACUUCAUAUUGAGAAGAAUGGUCUAGAGAAGACACAAAAUGAUACCUAGAAUUCUGGAAUCUCAGGUGUAAAUGAGGUGGAAGAAAGGCAAAGUAUAUUAGUAUUAGUAGAGAUAAAUAAAAAAGAAAUAAUCAAAAAAAAAAAAAGCUUGAUGAUUGCCAAGAUGGUAGUUAGGUGUUAAAGGUGAAAGCUACCUGUAUGGUUUUAUAAUAUGGAUGCUGUAGAAAACAAUACGGAAGUGAAUUUUGUAAGCAGGGAAGGGGAAUUCAUUUUGACUUAAUUUCUAGGCAUCAUUUCUUAUUUGUUUUGUAGGAGAAAUUUAGUUACUACUGAUGACAAUUAAAUAUGAUAAGACACAUGGGAAGAGUUCCUGGUGGCCUAGUGGUUAAGGAUUUGGUGUUGUCACUGCUGUGGUGUGGGAUCAUUCCUGGGCCUGGGAAUUCGUGCAUGGCGUUGGUGCUUCAGUGUUGAUGGAUGGCUGCUAAAGGCUGGGAUGGUGGUUGGAGAAGCCUGGGAUGACUGCAGCAAUUUCUUUAAAUAAGAUAACAGUGAGGUUUGCCACAUGGAUUGACUCUUUCUUUCACAAUUGUUUUCUCUGUAGCAUGAGAUGCUGCUCAAUAGCAUUUUACCCACAGUAGAAAGUCUUUCAAAAUUGGAGUCAAUUCUUUCAAUUGUCACUACAUUAUCAAAUAAAUUUAGGUGAUACUUUAAAUCUUUUUUUUUUUUUGUCAUUUCAACAGUCUGCAGAUUCUUCAGCAGGAGCAGAUUCUAUCUCAAUAAAUUACUUUUUAUUCAUCCAUAAAAGGCAAUUCCUCAACUAGUUAAGUUUUAGUAUGAGAUUUCUAUAUUCAGUCACAUCUUCAGGCUCCAAUUCUAAUUCUAGUUAUCUUGCUAUUUCUACCACACCUGCAGUUACAUCCUCUGCUGAAG
ensembl:lncRNA